rnacentral:rRNA from 1 species
AUGUUUUCCCCACUUCCCUCCCGCUCCUUCCUCCCGCCAAUCUCCCUCCCGCUCGCCUCCCUUCCAGCCGGCCGCCAUGCCACCGAAGAAGUACGCCGCCCCUCGCGCGGCGGCAAUCGCGACCACUUCCGUCGCCCAGCCGAAGCAGAGGAAGCCGAGAGCGCCGCCGGUCAAGCCACCGGGCAUGUCAAACGCCGAGUGAAAGGCGGAAGUUCAGCGGCGGGAUGCUGUCACCGCCGACCGGCGGAACAGGGCCAUCGCCAAGAAGGCCUGCGACAACGCGGCUCGCGUGGGGAUGGUGAAUCCACCUGGAAGUCACGCCCAGUACGCGCCCUGGGGCCAGCAAGGCGUCAGCUCUCCGCAGCCAUGGGGAUCGCCCUCGCCGGGCUACGCCGACGGGGACGCGCACGGUGGGUUCAACCCAAACGUCACCUUUUCCCAUGGAUACCUGGCCCAGCAUACGUCCUCUCCCGCCUUCGCCGACGUGCAGUACCCUCCAUACAACUACUCGCCGCCCACCUACGCUUCCUCCCGGCGCCCCCGCUACGCCGUGGCCCGCUGCCCUUCUCGCACCUCGGCGACACCGACGAGACCGAGGCCGACAUGGACGACAUCAUCGUGGCAGGUUCGGCCGUGGCCGCCUCAUCUCCCGGGUUCGUCACCCAGGACGAGGUGGUGGAUCUCAGCGGCAGCAUGGACGGCGAGCUCGGCUACGUCUACGGCGAGGAGGAGCAGGAGGAGGAGGACGAGGAGGAGGAGGAGAAGGAGGAGCCGACGCCUACGACGGCGAAGGGGCGCAAGAAGAAGAAGCGGGCGGCCAGGACAGGCGAGCCGCGCAUCAAGUGGGCGUCCAAGGAGGAGGAAUGCCUUGCCGAAGCAUGGAAAGUCGUCUGCCUCGACCCGACGACCAGCACGAACCAGAGCAUCGACACGUACUCGGACCGCAUCAAGGCCGAGUUCGAUGAGCGCAAGCUCGUCGACCCCUACUUCAAAGGCGUCUACAUGCAGCGCGCCUCCAAGGCUAUGGCGAACCAUUGGGGGCGUAUUCAGGGUGCGUGCACCAAAUGGCAUGGGGUCGUCGAGGAGGUCACGGCUCGUCCGGAGAGCGGCGCCAGCGUCGAGGAUCAGGUAUGCCACGCCGGCCUCCCGCCUCUCUUCGCAGUGUACGCCCGCCAACUGUUUGUUCUUCCGCGUAGUUGCUGCGCAUGUUCGCCCUGUACCGGCAGAGCAACAUCGACGACGAAUUCAAGUACCUCCACGUCUACAAGCGCAUUGACAAAUGCGAGAAGUGACUGGAAAUCCGGCGCACCCUCGACAAGGCCAAGGAGACCUACAAGCCGGACGCGCCGACUCCUGGCGCAUCGGAAGGGCGGCCGGACGGCAACAAAGUUGCUAAGAAGGGGAAACACGCCGACGCGGCCACCGCUCGAGUGCAGGAGUCCAUCGAGCACUGCCUCGCCGACGCGCAGGCCCGGGCCGUCCUUCGUGAAGAGAAGACCGAGGCGCGGUGGUCGGCGUUGA